rnacentral:rRNA from 1 species
AACGCUGGCGGCGUGCCUAAUACAUGCAAGUCGAGCGAGCAGAACCAGCAGAUUUACUUCGGUAAUGACGCUGGGGACGCGAGCGGCGGAUGGGUGAGUAACACGUGGGGAACCUGCCCCAUAGUCUGGGAUACCACUUGGAAACAGGUGCUAAUACCGGAUAAUAAAGCAGAUCGCAUGAUCAGCUUAUAAAAGGCGGCGUAAGCUGUCGCUAUGGGAUGGCCCCGCGGUGCAUUAGCUAGUUGGUAAGGUAACGGCUUACCAAGGCAAUGAUGCAUAGCCGAGUUGAGAGACUGAACGGCCACAUUGGGACUGAGACACGGCCCAAACUCCUACGGGAGGCAGCAGUAGGGAAUCUUCCACAAUGGACGCAAGUCUGAUGGAGCAACGCCGCGUGAGUGAAGAAGGUUUUCGGAUCGUAAAGCUCUGUUGUUGGUGAAGAAGGAUAGAGGUAGUAACUGGCCUUUAUUUGACGGUAAUCAACCAGAAAGUCACGGCUAACUACGUGCCAGCAGCCGCGGUAAUACGUAGGUGGCAAGCGUUGUCCGGAUUUAUUGGGCGUAAAGCGAGCGCAGGCGGAAGAAUAAGUCUGAUGUGAAAGCCCUCGGCUUAACCGAGGAAUUGCAUCGGAAACUGUUUUUCUUGAGUGCAGAAGAGGAGAGUGGAACUCCAUGUGUAGCGGUGGAAUGCGUAGAUAUAUGGAAGAACACCAGUGGCGAAGGCGGCUCUCUGGUCUGCAACUGACGCUGAGGCUCGAAAGCAUGGGUAGCGAACAGGAUUAGAUACCCUGGUAGUCCAUGCCGUAAACGAUGAGUGCUAAGUGUUGGGAGGUUUCCGCCUCUCAGUGCUGCAGCUAACGCAUUAAGCACUCCGCCUGGGGAGUACGACCGCAAGGUUGAAACUCAAAGGAAUUGACGGGGGCCCGCACAAGCGGUGGAGCAUGUGGUUUAAUUCGAAGCAACGCGAAGAACCUUACCAGGUCUUGACAUCUAGUGCCAUCCUAAGAGAUUAGGAGUUCCCUUCGGGGACGCUAAGACAGGUGGUGCAUGGCUGUCGUCAGCUCGUGUCGUGAGAUGUUGGGUUAAGUCCCGCAACGAGCGCAACCCUUAUUAUUAGUUGCCAGCAUUAAGUUGGGCACUCUAAUGAGACUGCCGGUGACAAACCGGAGGAAGGUGGGGAUGACGUCAAGUCAUCAUGCCCCUUAUGACCUGGGCUACACACGUGCUACAAUGGGCAGUACAACGAGAAGCGAGCCUGCGAAGGCAAGCGAAUCUCUGAAAGCUGUUCUCAGUUCGGACUGCAGUCUGCAACUCGACUGCACGAAGCUGGAAUCGCUAGUAAUCGCGGAUCAGAACGCCGCGGUGAAUACGUUCCCGGGCCUUGUACACACCGCCCGUCACACCAUGGAAGUCUGCAAUGCCCAAAGCCGGUGGCCUAACCUUCGGGAAGGAACCGUCUAAGGCAGGGCAGAUGACUGGGG